rnacentral:rRNA from 1 species
UACGUAGGGUGCAAGCGUUGUCCGGAAUUAUUGGGCGUAAAGAGCUCGUAGGCGGUUUGUCGCGUCUGCUGUGAAAACUCGGGGCUCAACUCCGGAUCUGCGGUGGGUACGGGCAGACUAGAGUGAUGUAGGGGAGACUGGAAUUCCUGGUGUAGCGGUGAAAUGCGCAGAUAUCAGGAGGAACACCGAUGGCGAAGGCAGGUCUCUGGGCAUUAACUGACGCUGAGGAGCGAAAGCAUGGGGAGCGAACAGG